rnacentral:rRNA from 1 species
AGAGUUUGAUCCUGGCUCAGGACGAACGCUGGCGGCGUGCUUAACACAUGCAAGUCGAACGGAAAGGCCCUUUCGGGGGUACUCGAGUGGCGAACGGGUGAGUAACACGUGGGUGAUCUGCCCUGCACUUUGGGAUAAGCCUGGGAAACUGGGUCUAAUACCGGAUAGGACUACGCGAUGCAUGUCGUGUGGUGGAAAGCUUUUGCGGUGUGGGAUGGGCCCGCGGCCUAUCAGCUUGUUGGUGGGGUGAUGGCCUACCAAGGCGACGACGGGUAGCCGGCCUGAGAGGGUGACCGGCCACACUGGGACUGAGAUACGGCCCAGACUCCUACGGGAGGCAGCAGUGGGGAAUAUUGCACAAUGGGCGCAAGCCUGAUGCAGCGACGCCGCGUGAGGGAUGACGGCCUUCGGGUUGUAAACCUCUUUCAGCACAGACGAAGCGCAAGUGACGGUAUGUGCAGAAGAAGGACCGGCCAACUACGUGCCAGCAGCCGCGGUAAUACGUAGGGUCCGAGCGUUGUCCGGAAUUACUGGGCGUAAAGAGCUCGUAGGUGGUUUGUCGCGUUGUUCGUGAAAACUCACAGCUUAACUGUGGGCGUGCGGGCGAUACGGGCAGACUUGAGUACUGCAGGGGAGACUGGAAUUCCUGGUGUAGCGGUGGAAUGCGCAGAUAUCAGGAGGAACACCGGUGGCGAAGGCGGGUCUCUGGGCAGUAACUGACGCUGAGGAGCGAAAGCGUGGGGAGCGAACAGGAUUAGAUACCCUGGUAGUCC